GAAAUGCGAUAAUUAAUGUGAAUUGCAGAAUUCAGUGAAUCAUCGAGUCUUUGAACGCACAUUGCGCCCCCUGGUAUUCCGGGGGGCAUGCCUGUCCGAGCGUCAUUGCUGCCCUCAAGCAUGGCUUGUGUGUUGGGCUUCCGUCCCUGGCAACGGGGACGGGCCCAAAAGGCAGUGGCGGCACCAUGUCUGGUCCUCGAGCGUAUGGGGCUUUGUCACCCGCUCCCGUAGGUCCAGCUGGCAGCUAGCCUCGCAACCAAUCUUUUUAACCAGGUUGACCUCGGAUCAGGUAGGGAUACCCGCUGAACUUAAGC
rnacentral:misc_RNA from 1 species